UAAUAUACUACAAAAGUUCGCAACACAUUCCUUGUAAGGACUGAGAUUUUUGCAGUGUAGCUAAACUCUCAGUUGACGAUGUUUUUGUGUGUAAUUUAAUUACAAAAGUACUCGUCAAGUUUCGGACGAAAACGAGUUAAAACGGAAAUUCUACGCGAUUUCCAAGUUUCACUUAAAGUGAAUAGUAACUCGAUUUUCCGGAGAAGCCGCGGUGAGAAGUUGGCUUCUGGCUCGUACCGGACUCUGU
rnacentral:lncRNA from 1 species